GUUCAGGAUGGCCAAGUGGUUAUGGCGUCAGUCUAAAACGCUUGUGAACGUAGGUUCGAAUCCUGCUCCUGACG